GCCAGCAUGCUGUAGUGGUUUGAGUUAGACUAAAAAUCUGGAGAUCAGGGUUCGAUUCCCUGUUCAUCCA